ensembl:lncRNA LINC01152 long intergenic non-protein coding RNA 1152
AGUGAAGGAAUUGGUUACUCUCCCAGAGCCCUCCCGGGCAUCGCCCCCUUCCUCACUUCCUCCUCUUCCUGCCCCCAGCCUCUACCCCUCCAGCCUCCUGUGGCUUCACAGGCAAGUGCCGCAUCCCAGGAAGAAGGAGUUGGAGCUCCGUGAUGUUCUGGAAGCUGAGAAGUCUAAGGUCAAGACUCCAGUGGAUUACGCAUCUGGCGAGAGCCUACUUCCUGGUUUGUAGACAUACCUGAGACUGGGCAAUCUACAAAAGAAAGAAGUUUAAUGGACUUACAGGUUCACGUAGCUGGGGAAGCCUCACAAUCAUGGCAGAAGGCAAGGAGAAGCAAGUUACAUCUUACAUGGGCAGCAGCAGCCAUUCAAAAACAGAUGAGAUGGGGACAGAUUUAACCCAAAGGACAUAGUUCAACUCCUGGUCUUGACAGAGGAGAAGCCCUCAAAGAUGGAGUCUCACUCUGUUGCCAGGCUAGAAUACAAUGGCACGAACUUGGCUCACUGCAACCUCCGCCUCCUGGGUUCAAGAGAUUCUCCUGCCUCAGCGUCCUGAGUUGCUGGGACUACGGGCACACACCAUCAUGCCCAGCUAAUUUUUGUAUUUUUAGUAGAGACAGGGUUUCACCAUGUUGACCAGGAUGGUCUCGAUCUCUUGACCUCGUGAUCUGCCCACGUCGGCCUCCCAAAGUCCUGGGAUUACAGGCAUGAGCCAGUGCGCCUAGCAAACGACAGCUUUUUGAGCCUCUGUUUAACAAUCUCUUAAACCUUAUAGGUAGGCAGUUCUGAGACAGCUCCUAAUCAUCUCCCCUCCUGGUAUUCAAGCCCUGAUGGAAUACUCUCUUCUUCAAUGUGAGCUGGACUUAGUGGUUUUCUUCUAAUCCAUUGAAUACACACAAGUGAUGAGCUGUCAUUUCCAAAAUUAGUUCACACAAAGCUGUAACUUUUGUUUUGUUCACAGCCUCUCUCAAUUGCCUUCUCAGCUUGUAUGCUUUGAAGAAGCAAGCUGCAGUGUUGGAGAGGCCCAUGUGGCAAGGAAAUGAGGGUGGCCUCCAGUCAAUGGCUGGUGAGAAACUGAGACCUUCCUUCCAACAAUUGUCAAGUAACUGAAUACUCCCAACAAUCAUAUGGGUUAGGUUAGAAGUGAACCUUUCUCUAGUUGAGGUUUCAGAUAAGACCACAGAUAUUAUACUAACACCUUGAUUGCAGGCUUAUGAGAAACCUUGAAAUGAGAAGACUAAGUAAAACCAUAUCUGGAUUCCUGACUUGCAGAAACUGUGUGAUGAUAAAUGUGUGUUAUCUUAAGCCACAAAGUUUUUGGGGUGAUUUGUUCUACAGCAAUUGAUAAUGAAUACUUCAACCUA